UACGGAGGGUGCAAGCGUUAUCCGGAUUUACUGGGCUUAAAGGGUGUGUAGGCGGGCUUUUAAGUCAGUGGUGAAAUCUCCGGGCUCAACCCGGAAACUGCCAUUGAUACUAUUAGUCUUGAAUUUUGUUGAGGUAGGCGGAAUAAGUCAUGUAGCGGUGAAAUGCAUAGAUAUGACUUAGAACACCAAUUGCGAAGGCAGCUUGCUAAACAAAUAUUGACGCUGAGGCACGAAAGCGUGGGGAUCAAACAGG
rnacentral:rRNA from 1 species